rnacentral:rRNA from 1 species
GUGCAGCAGGCGCGAAAACUUCACACUGCGGGAAACCGCGAUGAGGGAACUCCAAGUGCUAAUACACAGUAUUAGCUGUUUAGUAGCCUAAAAAGCUAUUAGAGUAAGGGCUGGGUAAGUCUGGUGCCAGCCGCCGCGGUAAUACCAGCAGCCCAAGUGGUGAUCGUUUUUAUUGGGCCUAAAGCGUCCGUAGCCGGUCUAGUAAAUCCUUGGAUAAAUCGUGCAGCUUAACUGUACGGCUCCCGAGGAGACUGCUAGACUUGGGACUGGAGAGAGGUCGGAGGUACUCCAGGGGUAGGGGUGAAAUCCUGUAAUCCUUGGGGGACCACCAGUGGCGAAGGCGUCCGACUAGAACGGGUCCGACGGUAAGGGACGAAGCCCUGGGGCGCGAACCGGAUUAGAUACCCGGGUAGUCCAGGGUGUAAACGCUGCGGGCUUGGUGUUGGGGGUCCUACGAGGGCGUCCAGUGCCGAAGAGAAGUUGUUAAGCCCGCCGCCUGGGAGUACGUCGCAAGAC